ACAUGCAAGGUCGAACGGUAGCACAGGAGAGCUUGCUCUCCGGGUGACGAGUGCGGACGGGUGAGUAAUGUCUGGGAAACUGCCCGAUAGAGGGGGAUAACUACUGGAAACGGUAGCUAAUACCGCAUAACCUCGCAAGAGCAAAGUGGGGGACCUUCGGGCCUCACGCUAUCGGAUGUGCCCAGAUGGGAUUAGCUAGUAGUGGGGUAACGGCUCACCUAGGCGACGAUCCCUAGCUGGUCUGAGAGGAUGACCAGCCACACUGGAAUGAGACACGGCCAGACUCCACGGGAGGCACUGUGGGGAAUA
rnacentral:rRNA from 1 species